AUGUUUUCAGAGAGCAAGGCAGCGGGUCGGGGGGAGCAGAGAGGCUUCAAGCACAUGCCUCACUUCUUCCCCUGGCUGUGCAGCGGCCUGAAGUCGCACCAGACCGGCGGCGGCAGCGGCGGCGGCGGCGGCGGCGGUGGCGACGGCGGCGACCUGGGACUGGAGCCGAGCUGGAGAGGAGCCUUCAGACGCAGCGCGGAGCCCCGUCUGGAGGACCUGGCCCCCCGGGGGAGGAUCAAGGAGGAGAUCCAGCCAGGGAGGGGCAAGGAGAAGCACCGGAAGAGCGUGCCGCGGGGUAACGGCAUGGGCCUGGCCAGAAGGCUUCCCCUGGUGCUCAGGGGACGGCACAUCCUCUCCGAGGGCCUGGGGAAGGCGAAGGAGGACGGCCCCGGCAAGAAGGACCCGUCUCCUGAGCCCGUCCCAAACUCGGACCCGGAGCCCCGUCCGGCGGUCCAGGACGGGCCGCGAGGUCCGGGCGACGACGGCGUUCCCGUUCAGGGCUCUAACCCGGAACCCUCUCCUGUUAGGGCUCCCGGGAGCCAGCUCAGCCUCCCCUCCACUCCGCAGAGUGAGGGGGUAGGCCCCCCGCUCAGGAAAUACGGACCCCUGGCUCCCGUCCCCGUCCCGGCGACUCCCGGGAAGCAGGUGGUCCAGGAAGAGUCGAACCUUAAGGUCCCGUCGCCGCGGAGCAAGGAGGAGGAGGACCGGGAGAGGCUGAGCGUCUUCCUCCGACGGACCUACCGCCAGAGGGAUCCCGCGUUCUCCUGCUGGAUUAAUUCCCCCACAUGGAGCACCGUCGACGGGCAGCGAGGAUUUAAGUCCGGCGUCGGCGGCCCGCACGAGAGAACCGGCGACUCCCCGGGUCAGAGACCCCCGGCCGGACGGGACCAGCUCCCCGGGGCCCGGUUUAACCACCGGGGGUCCUUCAAGGGGGACGUCCUCUCGAGGGAGCGUCCUCCUCACACAGACGCGGGCUUCACCAGGACCCUACCGGGCCGGAGGAAGCCCAGACCAAAGUCGGAGCUUGUGCAGAGCAGGGGACCCGAGCAGGCGUGGGUUCAGCCCAUGGCCGCCGGAGCAGUGGACUCUACUGGAGCUGCCGCUGCUUCUAAUGAGCAGGGACAGCUCGGAGGCAGGUGUCACCGGAAGGCUGUCCGCAGCCAGAUUAAACGGGUCGUGGUUAACCUGGAGCAGGUCGUCGGAGCCCUGAGGAACGUGCAGCAGGAAAUGAAAGAGGUAGUGGAGCAGAUUGACUAUCUGACCUCCGCGAUUGACCUGAACGCCCAGGAGGACGAAGGGAGGAUGGAGGCGGGCAAAGGAGGGGGAGGAGGAGGAGGAGGAGGAGGAGGAGGAGGAGGAGGAGGAAGGGGCGAUGUCCCCGGACCACCCAGUAACAGCAGCUCCAGCUCCGCCUCUGCCUCCACCACCAGCGAGGUCACUGUGCUCUGCGUCCACCCGCCGAAGCUCUCCGAGCGGGAAGCGGAGGAGACAACAGAGGACACGGGAAGCACACCGGUGUCCAGCUCCACCCUCAAAAGAGGGCAAAACCCACGCAGUCACACGAACGAACCCCGGGAACGCCACUCCCCCACAGCCCGGCCCACGGCGUGCGUCCAGACCACUGCGCGCCGUCUCUCGGAGAAGACCCCCGCCCCGCACACCGCCCGCACUGCGGGGUCUUCCCAGAGGCGGGGGGCGCCUCCGUCGUACGCCCGCCUCGCCUCGCACGCGUCGUCCCCGAUCAACCGCGCGCCACAAUCCCACCCGCCGCCUCAGCGGCCCCCCUCGCAGCACCUCGCUCCCUCCCCCCGCCGUGGCGGCGGGCCCUCCCCCGCCCGCCCCCCCACCCCCGGCCUCUCCCCGCUGCCGGUCAGCCCCGCCUCCCCCGCACCCCCCCUCCCCCUCCCGCACCCGUCUCCGGUCGCCGCGCGCGCCCUAAGUGGGUCAUGUGAGAGCCCACUUAGCCGCCGCCGCCCAUCUGCCAGUCCGGCCUCCCCGUCUCCGUCCCCGUCCCCGGCGCGCCCCCCCGCUCCCGGCGGCCCACCCGGGCUGUCUGAAACCCUGCCGGGGACGAACGGCCGGGAGGGGGCGGAGAGCCAGGCGGGUCCGGGGGGCCGCGCCCGCCCGGCUACCCGGGAGAGCGGCGGCUUACCGGAGAGGACCAGGAACCCGGCGGCGCCGGGGCGGCGGGGGGGCCGCCGGCCGCCCCCCUACCCGCACGCCGGCAGACUCUUUGAACGUGGGAGGAGGGCCAAGGACCCCCGCCAGGCGCCCCCGUACCCUGAGAAGAGAAGGCUGCUCUCGACCACAGUGUGAAGGCGACACAGCGGGAGGCAGGGGGGGGGGGGUGGAGGGAGGGGCAGCCGGGUGGCUGAUGGGAUAAAAAACACCCCCAAAAAAGUCUGCCAACAUUUUUAUCCAAGCCACGGACUCGCAGAGAGGAUGAUUCAAGGCUGGCCAAGCUGAGCCCGGAUCGAGUUUCCAGGCGGGAGGGUUUUGAAGAAGAAGAAGAAGAAGAAGAAGAAGCGACUUUGGGG
ensembl:lncRNA